CCUACGGGUGGCAGCAGUCGGGAAUAUUGGACGAUGUGGGAAACCCUGAUCCAGCCAUGCCGCGUGUGUGAAGAAGGCCUUCGGGUUGUAAACCUCUGUGUUACGGGAUGAAUUGAGCGUUGCUGAUAACGCAGCGUUUUUGACGUUACCGUAGUAGAAAGCCCCAGCUAACUACGUGCCAGCAGCUGCGGUAAUACGUAGGGGGCAAGCGUUGUCCGGAAUCACUGGGCGUAAAGCGCGCGCAGGCGGUAGGGUAAGUCAGACGUGAAAGGGUUCGGCUCAACCGAGCCAUUGCGUUUGAUACUGCUUUACUUGAGUCUAGAAGAGGAAAGUGGAAUGUAUGGUGUAGCGGUGGAAUGCUUAGAUAUCAUAUAGAACACCCGUGGCGAAGGCGGCUUUCUGGUCUAAGACUGACGCUCAUGCGCGAAAGUUUGGGGAGCAACCGGGAUUAGAUACCCCGC
rnacentral:rRNA from 1 species